rnacentral:rRNA from 1 species
CGCGUAGGCGGCUAACCACGUCCGGGGUGAAAUAUUUCGGCUUAACCGGAAAAGGGCCUUGGAUACGGGUUGGCUCGAGUGAGGUAGGGGUUGCUGGAACUUCCUGUGGAGCGGUGAAAUGCGUUGAUAUAGGAAGGAACGCCGGUGGCGAAAGCGAGCGACUGGACCUCUUCUGACGCUGAGGCGCGAAAGCCAGGGGAGCAAACGGGAUUAGAUACCCCGGUAGUCCUGGCCCUAAACGAUGGGUACUAGGUAGCGGACGAGACAUGCGUUCGCUGCCGAAGCAAAAGUGCUAAGUACCCCGCCUGGGGAGUAUGGUCGCAAGGCUGAA